rnacentral:rRNA from 1 species
AAAAAAGGUAAGCUACUAAGAGCGAAUGGUGGAUGCCUUGACUGGUAAAGGCGAUGAAGGACGUACUAGACUGCGAUAAGCUACGGGGAGCUGUCAAGAAGCUUUGAUCCGUAGAUUUCCGAAUGGGGCAACCCAAUGUAUAGAGAUAUACAUUACCUAUAUAGGAGCGAACGAGGGGAAUUGAAACAUCUUAGUACCCUCAGGAAAAGAAAUCAAUAGAGAUUGCGUCAGUAGCGGCGAGCGAAAGCGCAAGAGGGCAAACCCAGUGCUUGCACUGGGGGUUGUAGGACUGCAAUGUGCAAGAGGUGAGUUUAGCAGAACAUUCUGGAAAGUAUAGCCAUAGAGGGUGAUAGUCCCGUAUGCGAAAAACAAACCUUAGCUAGCAGUAUCCUGAGUAGGGCGGGACACGAGAAAUCCUGUCUGAAGCUGGGUCGACCACGAUCCAACCCUAAAUACUAAUACCAGAUCGAUAGUGCACAAGUACCGUGAGGGAAAGGUGAAAAGAACUGAGGUGAUCAGAGUGAAAUAGAACCUGAAACCAUUUGCUUACAAUCAUUCAGAGCCCUAUGUAGCAAUACAGGGUGAUGGACUGCCUUUUGCAUAAUGAGCCUGCGAGUUGUGGUGUCUGGCAAGGUUAAGCAAACGCGAAGCCGUAGCGAAAGCGAGUCUGAAUAGGGCGCUUAGUCAGAUGCUGCAGACCCGAAACGAAGUGAUCUAUCCAUGAGCAAGUUGAAGCUAGUGUAAGAACUAGUGGAGGACUGAACCCAUAGGCGUUGAAAAGCCCCGGGAUGACUUGUGGAUAGGGGUGAAAGGCCAAUCAAACUUCGUGAUAGCUGGUUCUCUCCGAAAUAUAUUUAGGUAUAGCGUUGUGUCGUAAUAUAAGGGGGUAGAGCACUGAAUGGGCUAGGGCAUACACCAAUGUACCAAACCCUAUCAAACUCCGAAUACCUUAUAUGUAAUCACAGCAGUCAGGCGGCGAGUGAUAAAAUCCGUCGUCAAGAGGGAAACAACCCAGACUACCAGCUAAGGUCCCUAAAUCUUACUUAAGUGGAAAACGAUGUGAAGUUACUUAAACAACCAGGAGGUUGGCUUAGAAGCAGCCAUCCUUUAAAGAAAGCGUAAUAGCUCACUGGUCUAGUGAUUUUGCGCGGAAAAUAUAACGGGGCUAAAGUAAGUACCGAAGCUGUAGACUUGCGCACAACUUAGAUUAUUUAAGUUUAGAAUAUGAGAAACUAAGUUAUAUGUUUAGUUAUAUUUUUACUGAUUUUUAUAGAGUAAAGAUAGAAAUAAAACUUAGUAAAAUCAGUAAAAAUAUUCUUAGACUAAAGUUAAGUAGUUUAAGUUGUGUGCAAGUGGUAGGAGAGCGUUCUAUUUGCGUCGAAGGUAUACCGGUAAGGAGUGCUGGAGCGAAUAGAAGUGAGCAUGCAGGCAUGAGUAGCGAUAAUUAAUGUGAGAAUCAUUAACGCCGUAAACCCAAGGUUUCCUACGCGAUGCUCGUCAUCGUAGGGUUAGUCGGGUCCUAAGUCGAGUCCGAAAGGGGUAGACGAUGGCAAAUUGGUUAAUAUUCCAAUACCAACAUUAGUGUGCGAUGGAAGGACGCUUAGGGCUAAGGGGGCUAGCGGAUGGAAGUGCUAGUCUAAGGUCGUAGGAGGUUAUACAGGCAAAUCCGUAUAACAAUACUCCGAGAACUGAAAGGCUUUUUGAAGUCUUCGGAUGGAUAGAAGAACCCCUGAUGCCGUCGAGCCAAGAAAAGUUUCUAAGUUUAGCUAAUGUUGCCCGUACCGUAAACCGACACAGGUGGG